AUAUAAAUUGUCGGUUGGAGAGAUGGCUGAGUGGUUUAUAGCCCCGGUCUUGAAAACCGGUAUAGUUCUAAAAACUAUCGAGGGUUCG
rnacentral:tRNA from 2 species